rnacentral:miRNA from 1 species
AACAACCUCAUUGACCGGAAGGGAUUCCUUCCGUCAAUGAGGAUGUUAUACCUCAUUGACUGGAAGGGAUUCCUUCCGUCAAUGAGGAUGUU